AGCAGCCAUGUUGGGUCAGACUCUACUAUUAUCUGACCAACUGCUGCUCAACCUAACUUGCCUGCUGCUGUAGGUUGUUCUAUGUGAAAUUGUAUCAGCACCAAGUUAGAUUGAGUAGCAGUUGGUCAGAUAUCAGUAGAGUCUGACCCAACAUGGAU